rnacentral:ncRNA from 1 species
UAUCACAAAGAAAUUAGAUGAGUAAAUCUAAGCCAAUUUUCAAGAGAGCUAAUGGUGGGUGGAAAUUAGUAAAGAGGCUGGGUUGAAGAUGGUCUAACACAAUUUUCAUGACUGAGUAAUAAUAAGGUCAUGACGGGGACUCCCGUUACUGAGUUAGGGUAUGAAACGAUUGUUAAGUACCUGAAGAGUAGUUAUUCGUGAGGGUAACUAGAACUAAGGUGGUACCACGGAAAAGCACUUUCGUCCUUGAU